AUUGAACGCUGGCGGCAGGCCUAACACAUGCAAGUCGAACGUUUGCCGUACUUUUGAGUAAUUUCUUGGAAACUGCCCGUUGGAGGGCGAUAACUACUGGAACCGGUAGCUAAUCCCGCAUACCAUCGGAUGUGCCCUGAUGGGAUUAGCUAGUAGGUGGGGUAACGGCUCACCUAGGCGACGAUCCCUAGCUGGUCUGAGAGGAUGACCAGCCACACUGGAACUGAGACACGGUCCAGACUCCUACGGGAGGCAGCAGUGGGGAAUAUUGCACAAUGGGCGCAAGCGUGAUGCAGCCAUGCCGCGUGUAUGAAGAAGGCCUUCGGGUUGUAAAGUACUUUCAGCGAGGAGGCGGUACUCGAAGAAGAAGCACCGGCUAACUCCGUGCCAGCAGCCGCGGUAAUAG
rnacentral:rRNA from 1 species